rnacentral:rRNA from 1 species
CCCCUAGAUGUUCUGGGCCGCACGCGCGCUACACUGAACAGUUCAACAAGUCUUAACCUUGGCCGAUAGGUCUGGGCAAUCUUUGAACAUCGAUCGUGAUCGGGAUAGAUUCUUGUAAUUUUUGAUCUUAAACGAGGAAUUCCUAGUAAACGCAAGUCAUCAGCUUGCAUUGAUUACGUCCCUGCCCUUUGUACACACCGCCCGUCGCACCUACCGAUUGAAUGGUCCGGUGAAAUCUCCGGACUGGCGUGAGUCGGAGCAAUCUGACAAACGCCGGAAAGUUGAUUAAACCUUACCAUUUAGAGGAAGGUGAAGUCGUAACA